rnacentral:rRNA from 1 species
AUGCAGCGCGCCGCCGUAAGGUUCGCUUCCAUGGCCGGUCGCCGCUUCGCUGCGUCGGCCACCCGCCCGGGGCUCCCAACUGGCGCGGCUCCUCUUUGGCCUGCCGCGGCGGUGGUCAACGGUACCACGCGAUUAUCCAUCCAGCCAGCUUUUGCUGCUGCCGCGGCGGCUCUGUGUGCCCGGCGCGGUUACGCGGGCAGGUCUCUGAAGACGAAGACGGUCAGCAAGGAGGAGGAGGAGGAGGACGACGACGACGGCGGCGGCGGCGGCGACUUCUUCGAUAUGUCCUGCGACGAGGACUCCGACGACGACUCCGACAGCGACGAUUUGGAGGACGCUGAUCUGUAUGCUUCCGGAAGUGACGAGUAG